CGUGCAGGUGGUUUGGUAAGCUGGAUGUGAAAUCUCCCGGCUCAACUGGGUGAGGUCGUUCAAAACUGCUGAACUAGAGGACGGUAGAGGAAAGUGGAAUUCCCGGUGUAGUGGUGAAAUGCGUAGAUAUCGGGAGGAACACCAGUGGCGAAAGCGACUUUCUGGCCCGUUCCUGACACUAAGACGCGAAAGCUAGGGUAGCAAACG
rnacentral:rRNA from 1 species